AACGAACGCUGGCGGCAUGCCUAACACAUGCAAGUCGAACGAGACCUUCGGGUUUGGUGGCGCACGGGUGCGUAACGCGUGGGGAAACGCCCUUAGGUUCGGCAUAACUCCCCGAAAGGGGUGGUAAUACCGGAUAAUGUCUCCGGAACAAAGGUUUAACGCCAUUGGUUGGGCCCGCGUUGGAUUAGCUUGUUAGUAGGGUAAAAGCGUAUCAAGGCGACGAUCGAUAGAUGGUCAGUGAGGCUGGUCCGCCACUCUGGGACUGGGACACGGCCCAGACUCCUACGGGAGGCAGCAGUGGGGGAUACUGGAAAGUGGGCGGAAGCCUGAACCAGCAAGGCUGGGUGAGUGAUGAAGGCCGGAGGGUUGUAAAGCUCUUUUACCCGGGAUGAGAAUGACAGUACCGGGAGAAUAAGCUCCGGCUAACUCCGUG
rnacentral:rRNA from 1 species